rnacentral:rRNA from 1 species
CCUACGGGAGGCAGCAGUGAGGAAUAUUGGUCAAUGGCCGAGAGGCUGAACCAGCCAAGUCGCGUGAGGGAUGACGACCCUACGGGUUGUAAACCUCUUUUGUCGGGGAGCAAAGAGAGUCACGUGUGGCUCAUUGAGAGUACCCGAAGAAAAAGCAUCGGCUAACUCCGUGCCAGCAGCCGCGGUAAUACGGAGGAUGCGAGCGUUAUCAGGAUUUAUUGGGUUUAAAGGGUGCGCAGGCGGAGGUGCAAGUCAGUGGUCAAAUUGCGGGGCUCAACCCCGUACUGCCGUUGAAACUUAAUCCC